rnacentral:rRNA from 1 species
ACGGGGAGCACCACAACAGGUGGAGCCUGCGGUUUAAUCGGACUCAACGCCGGGAAACUCACCAGAUAAGACAGCUGAAUGAUAGUCGGGCUGAAGACUCUACUUGACUAGCUGAGAGGAGGUGCAUGGCCGUCGUCAGUUCGUACUGUGAAGCAUCCUGUUAAGUCAGGCAACGAGCGAGACCCACGCCAACAGUUGCCAGCUCGUCCUCCGGGAUGGUGGGGACACUGUUGGGACCGCCUCUGCUAAAGAGGAGGAAGGAAUGGGCAACGGUAGGUCAGCAUGCCCCGAAUUAUCCGGGCUACACGCGGGCUACAAUGGUCAGGACAAUGGGUAUCGACACCGAGAGGUGGAGGCAGUCUCCUAAACCUGUCCUUAGUUCGGAUUGUGGGCUGCAACUCGCCCACAUGAAGCUGGAAUCCGUAGUAAUCGCGUUUCAAAAUAGCGCGGUGAAUAUGUCCCUGCUCCUU